UUCACAUUGUAUCAACACACUUAGCUGAUCUUCAAGUUGUUGUUUUUUUUUUUUUUUUUAUAAUGCUAGACCAGAAAACUAUUAUUGUAUUCCUGUAGCUGUAUGUUUGUAAGAAACUGUGUCAAGCUACCUGUGUAACAGGUAAGAACAUGUUUGGGGAGUUGUGUGUGGGUUUGAUAGGAUAUUUUGAAGUAUCCACUUCAAAAGCAGGAGUUUGAAAAGCUGUCAUUAAUUUGCUUUCCUUAUUCAUUCUGAGGGGAAGACCUGCCAAGCUGGCAGCAAUAGAGUGAGGAAGCUCUGGGAUUUCUUCUAAGCAUGUCCUUCAGUAGCUUCAGGAAAAUGAAAAAAGGAUAGAACUGUUCUAACAGAGCUCAAUUAAAAGAAAACAAAAUCAAAACUAACAUACAUGUCCUUUCAAAUAAAACUGGCGGGCUGUUAAACUAUAGAUGUCAGAAACCCUCUGCUGCCUCUUUAUUUAACUGGUUUAAAAUACUAGACAGCAAAGCAAUUACUGUCAAACGAACAGGAAAGCAUGAGGCCAAAUACCAUUCCCACAGGUACUGUAAAUGUUUAAUACUAUAUUUUGGCAGCUGUUACUUUUAAUAAGAUGUAGCAAAAAUAUUUAUAGAAGUAGAUUGUCUCAGGAGAUUGUUUGGGCAGCUUUGUCACUUCUCACAGACUGCUCCAGAAGCUGUCCACCCAACAAAGCAUGGUUUUAUGUUAACUCUGCUCAGGAGCUUCGGCAGAGGCUGGUGCAGCCAGCAAAUAAGAGUUAAUAUUUGAAUCAGAACAUUACUGUCCUGGGGAUAAAAAAGAAACAAGAAAAAACUCACUUUCCCAUGAAGGGCCUUCUUCAAGUUGACUGCACAGUUCAUAAGCCUGUUUCCUGAUUUCUCAUCACUAAAUCUGGACACCAAAUUAAAUCUUUUAAAAAUCCUGA